rnacentral:lncRNA from 1 species
AUGGUCUCCCUAUGUCUUCACAUGGCCAUCCCGCUGUGCAUCUGUGCCCUAAUCUCCUCUUCUUGGAAGGGCAUGGGUCCUAUGGACUUGAAACCACCCUCAUGACCUCGUUUUUCUUUACUGACCUCUUUAAUGAUCCACUCUCCAAAUACACAUCCUGAGGUCCUUCUGCUCAGAACUUCCACAUGUUGAUUUGGGGCCACAAGCCAUCCCAUGCCAUCCUCAAUUAGACUGUAAACCAGGUGAAGUCAGAAACAAUGCCUUAUUCCACUUUGUAUUCCUGGCGCAUGGCAUGGGGUUCGGCAACAGAAGAUCACACAUCCAUUUGAAAAAUUAAUGAGGCGGUGUUGUCCUUAUCAAUGUGCAGUGGAAAACUGUUGACAUGUUUGGAAAUUUUUAUGAUGAUAUACAUUCAGACAGAUACCUGCGUAUGUUUUAUAUAACACAAGAUAUUCCAGUAUACGUUGUAUAUCACAGCUAAAACUUGCAUACACAUGAGCAUCUAUUGUUUGUGUAUGUGUAGAGCUACACAGAUGUGUACAGACAGGGUCACCAAGCCAUCGUCUUUCCCUGAAUCACAUUGCUGCUAGUGGUAGACGUGACCUUUGCAAUAAAAUCCAGUAUUUUUAGUAAGGGAAUGAAGGAAGGAUGCUUUCUAGGUGACCUGAAGCAUCCAGGCCACAGUGUGCAUGUGGCUGUUCACACAGAGGGCUGGGGGUACAGGUGAGUCCAAGGGAUUCUGCUUCUAUAACGACUUGAGGACCCCAGAGUCUGCAGGCAACGGAAAAGAGUGGGUCAGCUUGCACCCUGGGCCUCAACACAGAGCUGCAGGUAGAGGGAGCUUUUUUGCUGUGAUGGCUUGUGUGACGCGAGGGUGACAGUGACCAGCUGGGAAAAAGCAGCCAUAGACAGAACCAAAGGACAAGGUCUGUGUGAAGAGUGGCUGGGUUUGUGGCCACCGGAUGGUGACACAGGUGUGCCUCCAUGGAUAUACCCCAGAUUCCGAUGAUUUCAAGGGUCAGGGCUCCACCUUGGGUCCAGCUUAAUUCCUGUGAUCAGAGGAGGCUCACCUCCUUCCCUCCUGCCACCAGGCUUGGAUCAGUGCCAGGGAGGGGGGUUGGUGGGGGUGCAUCUGACCAACUGGUUGCACAAGGAAAUAAAUGUCUUUAUAUCGAGUGAGAGAAAAAGUUUGCUAAUAAAAAAAUGUAUACUCAUUUCAGUCUACUUGAAAUGGGCUAGGAUAAGAUUAAUCUUACCCCAAACUUAAGGGAAACAAUAUAUUUGUGUUUUAAAUAAUAUAUCUUGCUAAAAUAACACCAAAGAGAAAAUGGUGAAUGAUCCUGAAAUUUGAUGUCAUUUUGCUUCUUUUGGUUUUUGCAUUGUUACUGACAGUCUUCGAAUAUUGCCUGUGCGUGCAUUUAUUACAGAAAUCUAUCUGUCUAUAGAUAAUAUAAAACCUUUUUUUUGACCAUGCUCACAGCCUGCAGAAGUUCCUGAGCCAGAAAUCAAACCUGAGCGACAGCAAUGACAAUACCAAGUCCUUAACUGAUAUGUCAUCAGGGAACUCCUAAUAAUGUCCUUUUUAAUAGUCAAAAAUAAUAUGGAUACACAUCCAUGUCCACAGCCAGCCAUUAGCUAUUUUGAAAGACUAGGUGAUACAGAAGGCAAAGAAGUCUAUUCCUGUUGUCAAGCCUCAGUCUUCCCAGGUGAUCCUAAAAGAACCUGCCAUAACAUUAGCUGGAGCAGGACAUGAGAAACACACACUGGGAUACUGACUCAGAUCCAGACCAGGCUGCUGCAGCUGAGAUGCUUGGCACAGAUGUGACUACACGCUGUGCAGGUUUCUGGUGCAUGUGAACACCCUUCGGCCCAGGAGAGGAAAGCAGGCCCCUGGGCCAUGGCCACUCUCCCUGCCAGCCUCCCUCCUCGGGUCUGGGGUGGAUGAGAGGCCCAGAGGACUCUUCCCUGAGAGAUGCUGUCAGAGCCGUACUGCUUGACGGCCUCAUCCUAUUACUUGUCCAUCUGAGCCAUCCUGGGCUCCAUUCCGAGCAAUUCCCUGACAUUUAGUCCUUAAGCUUCAGAGGACAGGAUUUGUCACAUUCUCUCCCAAAUGAUCCUCUCCGCUUGACCUUGGGUUAAUUCCUAAGGCCUGAUUUAUGGCAGCCCUGGACCUGUUUUUAACCUGCUCUCCAAUCCCUCUUGUCUGGGCUGGAAGCCUCUGCCCCAUCACUAAUUGGGUCCAUUACCACCUCCUGCUUCUUCCUUGACACAGAUGGAUGUUCCCACAGGCUUCGUUGAGAUCUGUACCACUGCUGUGGGCCUCUAGGAUGCCCGAGAUAGAACACAAAGAGGAUGCCAGACCCGAGCCACUUGGCAUUCACACUUGGCAGACAGGAACACUGGUGGGAAAUCGCUGUGUGUGGUAAGAUAAGAAUGGCCUUCUCUUAAUGAUCUUAACUUUUUAUAGUCUUAGGCUGUGCUGCUGUUUCAGGAGCUAACAUCAUGAGCAAAAACAAAAGCAUAGAAACCAUUUAAAACAGAUUUAUUGCAACUCCCAUGUGUGCAAAGUCCUGCAAGGAUGAGGGAAACUGACAAGGCGCCAGCUGUGUCCUCAGUGGGCUCACAGUUCAUUUGAGGAAGCAGACAUCAAUGCAACCACCAAAAACAUAUGACAGAUUCUCCACAGAAGAGAGUAAUUUCCACAGAAAUACAUGGUGUCCAGGUGCUAAAGGAUUAUGAAUGUAGGACUCAUUAAUUCCACCUAAACAAUAAGAGAAUGAUUUUUGGAGGGAUAACUUUUGCAAAAGCUUUGAAAUCCAAGAACAAUUUAUUUAUUUUUUAAUUAACUAUUUUUUAUUGCUGGGGAAUGUGUAUUUUUUUAGAGUUGUACAAGGAUCAUCACAACCCAAUUUUAUAGCAUUUCCAGCCCCAAACCCCCAGCACAUGCCCCACUACCCAACCUGUCUCAUUUGGAAACCAUAAUUUUUUCAAAGUCUGUGAGUCAGUAUUUAUUCUGCAAAGAAGUUCAUUGUAUCCUUUUUUAUAUUCCACAUGUAAGUGAUACCAUAUAAUGUUCAUGUCUCACUGUCUGACUAAGUCACUCAGCAUGAUAACUUCUAGGUCCAUCCAUGUUUAUGCAAAUGCCAUUAUUUCUUUCCUUUUAAUGGCUGAGUAAUAUUCCACUGUGUAUAUGUACCACAUCUUUGAGAAGAAUGUAAACAGGCCAACCUAAGCCAAAAGGCUCUGGAUGGGAACACACAGCUCAAAGGCAGGAGAGCGUGAACAUGUAAGACAAUUUCAGGAGACACUGGUAGUCCUAUGUGGACCCAGGAUUCCAGGCAGGGUGCAAUGAGAGAGAAGGCAGGAGGUGGUUGGUCACACCAGGAAGCACCUUCAAUUCCAUGCCAAGAAAAUUGGCUUCGUUCUCAGAGGAUUUGGAGCCAUGGGGUGGGUACUUUUAGGAAAGUGGCGAUUGGGCUUGAGCAUCUCCACAGAUCUGCACUUUGGAGAUUACUGUCCCUAAUCUAGCCACUCACUUGAUGUCACCCCCAGAAGAGCUGGAACCCCUGUUGAGAUGCUGCUAGUGACCCAUGUGCUCCAUUUGGCCCUGCCUAUCCUGUGUCCUAACCCUGAAGUCCCUCUUCCCUGAGAGAUUCUGGACGCCUUAGUUUGCUCACAGCUGUAACUUCAGUGCCUAGAUGGCUGUUUAUAAGUGCCAAACGGGGUGUAUUUAGGGCAGUUUGUGUCAUAGUUAUACCAAGAGGAUUGCGGGGAGCCAAAACCUAAUGCACAAAUAAGAGACCUUCCAACGGCACAGGGAGAGGCAACAGGGUUGGGCUAGGGCAGGGGCAGUGCUGGGUUGGAAGCAAGGAGAUUAUGGGGUGGAAUGCUCUCAGCUCAGCCAGAUCAGAGGUUGAAGCAAGUCUGUGAGGUGAGGGUGCCGGGCACACCCUCCAUACCUCCCUUGGCACAACAGUGCUCAGGCCUGUUUCGGUGCAGCCAGGGUUGCACAUCUGAGAACUCGCUGCUUCCAGAAAUCUGUGCAGCCUGGUGCAUCUAUGGUCCAAACCCCUGCCAAAGAGCUUGAUGAUGACCGCCAAUGUUGACCCAAGGGUUGGGUACAGAGGGCACUUCUGGGCUAUGGUCUGGGUUAUGGUCUUUUUGAGGGGCUGUUAAAGUCUGCUGAGUGUCAUGGGGGCAGGAACAUUCUGGGAAGUCUGUUCAGAUCUGUGUGACUAGCCAUCUGGGUUGGGCGUGGAUGUGUGCAGACAGCAGCUCCCAUGCAGCUAGAAAGACCUCGCUCUUUCUCAGCACCAUUCACCCACCCACUCUUCUCACCUCUGAUGCUGUAAAGGCAUCUGAUUUGCCCAGUGGAGGCAUCCUUAAGUCACCAGCACCCUGUCGGGCAUUACAACAGGAAGGACUGUACAGACUGUACUUUUUGAGACGGGACCUGGGUAGAGCCACUUGGGGAUGUUGAAAGUUGCCCCUUCCAUUUCUCACCUCAUGAGUAUUCAGCCUCUCCCACCUGCCCAGCACUCUGCAGGUGCUAGAGAGACAGUGGGAUAAUGCAAGUUUCAUGUGUCACCGGAAAGGCAACUGUCCAGUAAAUAACUAUACAAGAGACCAGGUCAUCACUGUUUUGAAGUGUGUCUGUGAAGGAUAAGUUAGGGAGUGAUGUGAGGUAAUAAGGAGGGGGAGCAGCCUCAUCCUCAGAGGUCAGGUUGGGCUUCCCUGAGAACAUGACACAUAAUCUGAGCCCAGGAAAAUGGAGAGGAUGUGAAUGGGAGUAGAUGCCAGAGGAUAGCAUGUGUAAAGACCUGAGUAGAGCAGGAGCACAGGCUGCACAUGUGAGGCUCAGUGAGGUCACAUUCAUCCCACAGUGGAAGCAAGUGGAGGGUGUGAGCUGGAAAGAUGAGUGCCCCAUCCUGGAGGGUACACGGGGGAUUGAGAGACAAGAUAUUAUUUUUGCAAAAGACAUAGAAUGUGUGAGGCACAGAGGGAACGUUAAAAAUGAUGCUAAAGUCGGGAGUUCCCAUCGUGGCUCAGCAGUCAACAAAUCUGACUAGCAUCCAUGAGACAGAGGUUCGAGCCCUGGCCUUGCUCAGUGGGUUAAGAAUCUGGCAUUGCGGUGAGCUGUGGUGUAGGUCACAGAUGCGGCUUGGAUCCUGUGUCGCUGUGGCUGUGGGGUAGGCUAGCAGCUAUAGCUCUGAUUCGACCCCUAGCCUGGGAACCUCCAUGUGCCACAGGUGUGGCC